rfam:Brachypodium distachyon strain Bd21 chromosome 1, whole genome shotgun sequence.
GAAAGUCAUGUGCAAUGAAAAAUGCAAGCACGGUUUGGGGAGGGAUUUUUCUCUGUUGUAACAGGGAAGAAUUAUCUACUCCAU